rnacentral:rRNA from 1 species
CCUACGGGUGGCAGCAGUGAGGAAUAUUGGUCAAUGGACGAGAGUCUGAACCAGCCAAGUAGCGUGAAGGAUGACUGCCCUAUGGGUUGUAAACUUCUUUUAUAUGGGAAUAAAAUGUUCCACGUGUGGGAUUUUGUAUGUACCAUAUGAAUAAGGAUCGGCUAACUCCGUGCCAGCAGCCGCGGUAAUACGGAGGAUCCGAGCGUUAUCCGGAUUUAUUGGGUCUAAAGGGAGCGUAGGUGGAUUGUUAAGUCAGUUGUGAAAGUUUGCGGCUCAACCGUAAAAUUGCAGUUGAAACUGGCAGUCUUGAGUACAGUAGAGGUGGGCGGAAUUCGUGGUGUAGCGGUGAAAUGCUUAGAUAUCACGAAGAACUCCGAUUGCGAAGGCAGUUCACUGGACUGCAACUGACACUGAGGCUCGAAAGUGUGGGUAUCAAACAGGAUUAGAUACCCUUGUAGUC